rnacentral:lncRNA from 10 species
GGAGAAUCGCUUGAACCAGUGAGCCGAGAUCACGCCACUGCACUCCGGCCUGCGCAUGAGAGAGACUGACUGUCGGCAAAAACAAAACCAAAACAAACCUUUACCCACUUCUCCUAAACAACCCCUAAAAAACUGCUCUGAAAAGCAGGGAAUAUCAUUGUGCAAAGUAAGUUGUUUUUUUCCACGGGGCUGUCUGCGUAAAACUUGCCACUUAGAGCCCUGCCUGCACCGUCGUCACGGCCCAGCCUGCAGGUGAGCUUCCUCGCGCCCCCGCCUGACCUGAGUGCCCCUCCCUCAGUCAGACACAGUGUCGUCGCCCUGCA